UCUCCGUCUGUCAAUACUUACAUCUGUAUAUCUAUAUCUACAGAGGGAGAUAUUAAUUAGGGUUUACACUUUAUUAUAUCAACCAAGAAAGUGGAAAUCGGCGGCUAGGAGGAAUUCACAUUCACAUUCACAUUAAUGUGAUUGCAUUGCAUACAAUAGGAGGAGGGUUUUGCAGGAUUCAAGGACUUGAGAUUCCUUUCAUGUUGAUUUUCAUCAUCUAUUUUAACCGCCGAUUGAGAAGAUUCUUCAUGGUAAUCAAUUCGUCUCGGUUACUUGCAAUUGGUUGGCUGUGUCUAAUUCCUUUUCUCCUACUUGCCUUAGUUACUGUACUUUGGAUUCAUCGGGCUUUGGACAGAUAAUGCUUUGACCUGAUCUUUGCUGCUGGGUACUCCUGGGUUUUGUUAAUUGAAAAGGAUCUAUGGCCAUUAGUUAGUGUCACCUCGUAAUUGAAUGGUUGCAGAAUCGGCUGGGUUAGGGUUUUGUAGGUUCAAGGAUACAUGAUGUCUUAUGUUGAAUGUGUAUCAGUGGGAGAGCUACUGGUUAUUGGUUGUUUUUUUGUGCAUCUUAUCUUAUGACUGUCAAAAGAAGGUGCUGGUGUAUAUGGUAGAUCAGAUGGCAUUCGUUUAUGGUUUUCCUUUUCAUAGGUAGAGUAAGGUUUAGCUUAUUGUUGCUCUUCUUUGUUUACUUCUCGUUACAUUUUGAUAAUAUCUGAUGUUUUUCUAGUCCUUGUUGGUUGUCAAAAGAUUCAUGGCUUUAAGCUCAAUCAAUUCCUGGCAAUGGGAUAAUUUUCAUA